UCCACCGCCCAAAGCCCCAAAUCUUUCAUAUCUUUAUUUUCUUUUUCUUUUUCUUUUAUUUCUUGUUGUCAAUGUUUACUUUUUCAUUUUCUCUGAUUUGUUUUUUAUUGGUCCCACAAUAUAACCAUAACGGGCAUCUAGCCUAAGUGAGCAUGUAGGAGUUGAUAUCCCAUCAAGACAUUUGCAUUUCCUUUCUGUCCAAACGCACCACAAAAUACAGGAAGGGGUCAUUCUGCCAAACUUUACUGAUGGAUAAAUCAAAUUUUCCAUGAAGACCAGCUUUAGUGUGCUUUUAAAUGAAUUGUUGUGCAGCAUAAGUCAUUUGCUGGUGACCUUAACAUGUGCGAUCACAUUCAGGAGUAACAUUUUGUUGAUUGAAGCACGCGGUUGAGUGUGAUCAAAAGGCAUGUUGACUGUCGAGAGCUUAGAAUUGUAUCCACUUGAUGUACUCGUGCCGUUUCAAGGUUCAGUUUUUAUUUUAAUCAUAAAUUUUAAGUGGGUACUUUCUCUCUUUGGUGGUGAUUUAUCAAAUGAGCUGAUAGCCAAAGUCAUCGAGUCUGGUGUAUACAAGGAUAUGGUGCAGUAAUUGUUUCUUCCUUCUCUCGCAGUCAGAAAAGUAUUAUGUUCUUUCACAAGGAAAAACACCUUCAUUUCUUCCUUCAAUAAAUAAUAAUGUUAUACGAUAUGUUGUCCGGUAAAGUUAAUGAAGAACAAUGAUUUUACAUCAAAAAUUGUUUCCCUUUCUCAUUCAAGAGCUUGUGUUGCGCAAAGCAGGUGCAGAUUGUCGUUUUGGGCUCAUGCACAUCACGGGAAACCUCAACUAGUAAUAGAAGAAAGUUUGGAUCAUAAUGCUUCAAUAAAAGUAAAUGGGUUUAGGACGAGUCCGCAGUGUUACACAUCAAUAGUUAAUUCAUGAUUUCAACCCACACUUGCCCUGCCUGAUGCACUCAGAAAGAUCAAGGAUGACUAUGGUUAAUCUAGGAGCUGAGCUCGAUAAGAAAAUGAUGGCCAAAUCAGGGUUUCACCGAGAUUAGCUAGAGUAGAAAGUACAGAGGAAGAAGAGGAAGAAACAGCAUGAUCUUAUUUCAUGUACAAUUACAUUUUUAUUUAUAGACUACCAAUUGAAAGAAUCAAUCUUGUUACUGCCCAACGAAAACAGAGUUAGCUGUGAGCAGUCACCAGAAAUUGCAUUUUUUUGGCUUGAUAUCACUCGUAAAUUGCAUAGUGAUUAUUUUUCAGGCUCUGAUACCA